UGUAUAUAAAUAGAUAAAUAUUAUAUAAUUUGUUAUUUUUAUAUAAAUGGGAUAACAUACAUAACUGGUUUUAUGAGCUGCUGUUUAUAUAUAGGUACCUUUGCAUGACCAUAUGUAAUAAUAGCUAACUCUUAUGUACUACUUAUAUAUCAAGCAGUGUUUUAAGUACUUUAUAUAUUAACUCCUUUAAUUCUUAUAAUAACUUACAAUUCACAGAUAAGGAAGUUGAGAUAUAGAGCUUAAGUGGUUUGCUCAAGAUCAUAUGUCUAAUAAGUGGUAAAGCUGGAAUUUAAACCCAGAAGGAGGAUUGGGCUUGAGGCUUCCUCUCUACUCUCCCCAGCUUCUCCAAAAAGAGAGAGCUACUUUUCCAUUUUUAUGGCUAGUUUAUUAAUAUAGGUCAUGAAACAAGAGUGCUACAAUUAUAUGUCAGAAAACAGAAGAUAAACAAAUGAUGCCUAAGCCUGUAACCUGGCUGGGCCCAGCUACAUUUUGUUAAGGGGGGAGCACAUCGGAAAAUCUGAGAGCCAUGGUUUAAGAGUUGGGAAAGUAUAAAGGGAGUGUGUAGCACAACAGCACUAGACAACUCAGAGGGAGUCACCUACCUAUGGAGAGACAUCAAGGACAAACUCAGCGGGCUCAACAUUUUCUCCAGAGAUGAGUUUUUUAGGUAAGUCAUAGGUGAGUGACAUGUUUGAAUAAUCUCAGCAAACUACAAAACAAAUGUCAAUAGAUAAGAAUGACCUUUUUGGGCUCAGUAGUAUAGUUUUACAUAAUUAUUAUGUUUUUACAAGAUAAUAAUUAUAGCUUUACAAAAUUAUUAAGUUCAAAAAAAGUCUAUCUAAUCUGUAAAAUUUAUGCAGGUUGAGCAUCCCUAAUCUAAAGAUCCAAAAUCUGAAAUGCUCCUAAAUCUGAAACUUUUUGAGCACUAACAUAAUGCCACAAGUGGAAUAUUUCCACACCUGAUGCCUUUGCUUUCUAUUGGUUCAAUGUACACACAUGUUGUCUAGUGCACCGAACUAUUAAAAAUAUUGUGUAAAAAAAAUAUAUUGUGUAAAAUUAGGCAAUGUGUAUAAGGUAUAAAUGAAACAUAAGUGAAUUUUGUGUUUAGACUUGGAUCCCAUCCCCAAGAGAUAUCAUUAUGUAUAUGUAUGCAAAUAUUCCAAAAUUAAAAAAUAUCCAAAAUUCAAAACACUUCUGGGUCCAAGCAUUUGGGAUGAGGGAUACUCAGCCAGAAUUAGCCCUUUUCCCAGGCUUUGCCAUUCUCAAUACUAUUCAUCUCUAGUAUUGAUUUAUUUAAAAGAAGAUUAAAAGUAAAAAUAUAACUUAGAGAAGAGAGAUUUCCUGAUUUUUUAAGUAUGGGUAGGAUCAGUGUGUAUUUCCAAAGGCAGAGUGGAAAGUACACAUAUAUUAAUAUAUGAUCCUUUAAAUGUAUUUUAAUAGCUCUGUGUCAGUUUUAAAGAGCAUCUUAAGAUAUAUGGCUAACUGAAUUUUACCAAACUGAAUUUUUACUGUUCUAUUCAUGAAUUGAGAAAGUCCUCAGGAAAUACUUAGACUCAUAAUUUUGGCUCCUUCAGAACUUUGGCUUGCACAGAACUAGUUGGUUAGACUUGUCUCUACCACACAGUAUCUACUCAACUUUGUAACACAAUUUUUUAACUGAAUGUCAACUCAAAUUUUUGAACUAAGCUAUUUUGAGUCACAGACUUGGCCAACAUACGUGUGAGUUUUCCUUGGGACUAUGUCUACCCCUCAGGCUAGUCAGUUGUGGCUGGGAGACACAGAGACCACAAAAUAUCUAGUAUUACAGUUAAAUUUUUAAAAUAAACACACAGAUGGUUUAUAUGGAGCAUAUUGGAAAUGCUUAUGGUUUCUUACAGAAGAAUAUAAAUAUAUGAACAUUUUAGCCCUUUAAAUACCAAAAUCUAAGGUCUAAUCGCUUUAAUUGAUACUUAAAAGUUUCACCAUGAUUGAUGCUUUGGAAUUAUGAGGACCUAAAAGCUAACAGAUUCUUUUCUUAUCUGUCACUCUUCUACUGAGCUAUGCAAGGUUUUUUGAGAUGAGCAUACCUAAGGUAUUAAUAGAAAGUAUCAUCAGAGACACAUUAAAAUCCAGAAUUCACUUUGCUGUGUGGAAAUCACAUGGUCUUUUACCCAGAAUUCCUGGGAAUUCUCCUUCCCUCUGGGUAUAGAGCAAGACACCUCUCAUAUGAUGGCCUUCAU